UCCUACGGGACGCAGCAGCGAGGAAUAUUGGUCAAUGGGCGAGAGCCUGAACCAGCCAAGUCGCGUGAGGGAAGACGGUCCUAUGGAUUGUAAACCUCUUUUGCCGGGGAGCAAAAAGCGGUACGUGGACCGCAUCGAGAGUACCCGGAGAAAAAGCAUCGGCUAACUCCGUGCCAGCAGCCGCGGUAAUACGGAGGAUGCGAGCGUUAUCCGGAUUUAUUGGGUUUAAAGGGAGCGCAGGCGGCGAGUUAAGUCAGCGGUAAAAUUUCGGGGCUCAACCCCGCCGGGCCGUUGAA
rnacentral:rRNA from 1 species